AUCCCACCCACAGACUGUUUUUGUUCCUCCUCAUGACACAAACAGUCGUCAGAGCGCGACGCUGAGAACAAACCCACCUGUCAUGACACUCGGGAGUUUUAUUUUCAAAUUGAACUUCAACAUUGUCCGGAUUAGAAUUAGGAUAAACUGGGAUGUUCUGUUCCCAUGAAAUCUCACCAGCCUUGGAUAUUUAGCGAGCUUGAAGAGUCGGGUCAGCAGAACAAUGAGGCGGAAAUAUCUCUGCUGGGCUCACCGUGACUGCAGCUCUACAGCAGGAUGUUCAGGCGACGCUUGGAGCUGACGUCACUCUUCAAUGUCAGAUUACCACAGAUGAAAUAAUCUCUGUGCUGAAGUGGAGCAGACCUGACCUGAACACAGACGGCUACGUCUACUUCUACAGGAACAAACGCUCCUAUGAAAACUACCAACAUCCAUCUUUUCAUGGAAGAGUGAAGCUGAGGGACCCGGAGAUGAAGGAUGGAGACGUUUCUCUGAUCCUGAAGAACAUCACAUUUAAUGACACUGGGAUGUAUGAGUGUCAUAUAGCUGUGAGGAACCCUGUGAGAAAUAAAAGAGCUCACACUGAGAUCAGUCACUUCAUCAACCUCACAGUCACAGGUGAAGUGCAUGAAAACAUGUUUAAGAACCACAUCAUGGAAAGAGAAGAUGCUGAUGGAAACACUGAGGUUGAACAGGUUGAAGCACAGACUAUCCUCAUUGUUGCUGGUGUUGUCAUUGCUGUCAUUGCCCUUGCUGCAGCUGUUGGUUUGUUAGUCUUGCUUCUUAAGAGAAAUAAGAAGCAGCAUCUAACAUCCUACUGAGGAAGAAUCAGUAGGAAGUCCUGCUGAUUACAAAUAAAACAGCCAUAAAGAUUUAAAUAUAUUUAAUUGGAAGUGAAAAUGAUAAGAUCGCAAACUGUUUAUUAGAUGAGAAUUUGUAACCAUUAAAACGAUUAAACACUGUCCUCACAUAUCUAUCAUAAAAAUAUCCUCAUAACUACAUUUAUAAUUAUUAAUACUAGUUAAAUAUAUACACCUAGAGAACAAAUCUUGCUUAUUGAAGCUAGUCUGGGCAUUCAAAGCAGUGGUAAGAAACUUUGCGUGCACACAUUUGCAUGUAUGGAAAUGACACAUAGAUAUUUGUGCUUGCAGGUGCACUGCAAGCAUUUCAUCUACUGCAUAUACAUGGACGCAUUAGAAUUACUAACAUAAUGAAAUGUAUGUGUUUAGACUUUGAAGCAUCCGGAGUAACAAGAAAAUCCAUACAAAAAGGCCACAGCCAAGAUUUGAACCAGGAACUUUCUUGUUGUGAGGCGACAGUGCUAACCGUUAGUGUUAGUGGAUGCUGAUGGAGAUUUGAGGGUGGGGGUGAUGUGUUGUUAAGACUGUUGUAAAAUGUCAGAAAAGGUCAAAUUUGACCCAAACAGAAAGUAAAGGGUUGAGGAAAGAUUAAACACUGACACUUCAGUAACUACAUUUAUCAAGUACACCACACUGAAGACCAUCUCUGCUGUCCAUUAAUGUCAAACCAAGUAAAGUUUUAGACAUUGCAGGUGAUAAUUUUGAGACUACUGCACUUCCUGUGUCACACCAUCUCAUGAUAUCAGACGUUUUAUC